UCGGACCAGCGUGAAUGUGUUGAGAAAACGACUGUGCAAGUUGCGUUCUUGCCCUGGACAGUUCGUCGUGUUCAUUCAUUCGCUAGUGAAAAGUAUGGCCGAACGUACGUCGUCGUAGCGCCGUUCCGUCGUCGUGUUGAAGCAAGAAAGUGUGAUGACAUCAUUUUGACCCCCGCCCGAGCUAAAUAGUGUCCAUAGCGCGAAGUGAAGUGCGUGUGUGAGUGAGCAGCGGUGGAGCAGCGAGAUUUGGUUGGUGAAGCGUGGGGGGAAACAAACAACCGAAGCGAAGAAGUAACCGACGAGGAAAAAAGUGUGCAUUUUCAUCGAUUUUAUUUUACUGUAGAGGUAGAAUCGGUCCGGAACUGCUUGCUGCCGGUUUGGAGAAUCCGGAAGUAGACCGGAAGAUAGUUCGUCGGGUUAAUCCAUACACCGUGACGAUCGGAGCCGCAGUCGACGUUUAGGCCGCCAAGCAGCGGUGUUGGAAUAAGGACCUUGGGGGGCUUUUUCGACAGGGGGAGGAAGUUAAGUGUUUGGGCAAGUGUGUAAUAGCGAGUUAGGUGAUAAUCAGUGCCAGUGGUGAAGUUCGAAUCAUGUGGACAUUCGGUAGUAGGGACGGCGGGUUCGUCCUGCUACUGGUGGUAGCUGCCAUCAAUGUGAUCGCCGUGCAGAGUUUGAUCCACUCACCGCCCCGCAUCAUCAAACAGCCGCCAACGGACGAGAUGCUGUUCCAGGUGGCACAGCCAGGUGAAAACGACAAGCCCUUCGUCAUCGAGUGCGAAGCCGAAGGCGAACCAUCACCGAAAUACCGCUGGAUCAAGAACGGCAAAAAGUUCGAAUGGCAAACGUACGACGACCGAAUGUCGCAGCAGCCGGGUCGCGGUACGCUGGUCAUCAAGUCCCCGCGGGACGAGGAUCUCGGCCAGUAUCAGUGUUUCGCCGAGAACGAGCACGGCACGGCCACAUCGAAUUCGGUGUUUGUUCGGAAAGCCGAAUUGAACUCGUUCAAAGACGAGUCUGCCAAAACGCUGGACGUGGACGAGGGUUCACCGCUGAAGAUGCAGUGCCAGCCGCCGGAUGGUUGGCCCCGACCGAACGUCUACUGGUUGAUUCAAAAUAUGGACGGUGGCAUCAGUUCGAUUAACAAUUCGCGUAUGACGCUGGAUCCGGAGGGUAAUCUGUGGUUCUCCAACGUGACGCGCGGGGAUGCUUCGGAUGAUUUCUACUAUGCUUGUGCGGCUUCGUCGCUGUUCCGAAAUGAAUACAAAAUCGGUAACCGUGUGUUGCUGCAGGUUAAGCAGACCGGUAUUUCGGCUGCCCAGAAUAAACAUCGUCCCCAGAGGCAGUACGUGUCCAGGAAGAACGAGGUGGCACUGAGAGGUAAGAAAAUUGAAAUGUUCUGUAUCUACGGAGGUACGCCGCUGCCGCAGGUGGUGUGGACGAAGGAUGGUCGACCGAUUCAGUGGAGUGAUAAGAUACAGCAAAAUAAUUACGGUAAGUCGUUGGUGAUAAAGCACGCAUCGUUUGAGGAUCAGGGAACGUAUACUUGCGAGUCGUCGAACGGCGUGGGUAGCGCAGAAUCGUACUCGAUUCGGUUAGAAGUGCAAGCUGUUCCAUAUUUCACCAAGGAACCAGAAAUCGUCAACGCCGCCGAGGAUGAAACCGCGGAGUUCACUUGCGAAGCAUCAGGUGUGCCAAAGCCGAACAUUAUCUGGAUUCAUAACGGAAAGCCAAUUGACCAAUCGAAACCUAAUCCCAGACGACAAGUAGGAUCGAACCGAAUCUACUUCACCAAAUUGGAGAAGGGUGACACCGGUAAUUACGGUUGUAACGCCACCAACUCUUUGGGUUAUGUUUACAAAGAUGUGUACCUGAAUGUGCUGGCCCUGGCACCGGAAAUUACGGAACCACCAAAGCUGGAAUACACCGUGGAUCGACGCAACGUUACUAUGACUUGUCGAGUGUUCGGUGCUCCCAAGCCAGAAGUCAAAUGGAUCCGUAAUGGACGUGAGCUAACCGGAGGUAAAUUCAAGAUCGAAGCCAAUGGAGAUCUGUUUAUACGUGGGGUCGAAUUCUCCGAUGCCGGUGAGUACACGUGUAAUGCUGUGAACAAACUUGGCGAAAAAUCUGCCUCAGGGGAAUUGGUUGUUAAGGAACAUACGAAGAUUAUUGACGAGCCUCAAGAUUAUGAAGUUGUUGCUGGAACCCAAGCAACAUUCCGUUGUAAUGCGGUAGCAGACAGUUCGCUAGAACUAACCAUCGAAUGGAUGACUGAUGGCGAGCCUAUCGAUUUUGAUAGCCAGCCUCGAUUUGUCAUGACCAACGAUUACUCGCUAACGAUCUCAAAAACCAUCGAAUUGGACACAGGUGUCUACACAUGCUUUGCGCGGACAGAUUUGGACGAAGUAAUGGCCAAUGCAACGCUUACCGUCUACGAUCGACCAAACGCACCUUCCUUGAUGGGAGUUGAAUGCCAUCAAACUUUGGCCACACUUUCGUGGAAGCCGAACGGUGAUAACCGAUCUCCAAUUUUGCACUACACAAUCGAAUUCAAUACCUCAUUUACUCCGGAUACCUGGGAGAUCUCCUCUAAAGACGUCCCUGCAACAGAUUUCACCUACAGCGUGGAUAUGAGCCCUUGGUCGAACUAUACAUUCCGAGUGAUUGCCAUCAAUAAAGUCGGCCCAUCGCAACCAUCAGGGCACAGUGAGGUCUGUACCACGCAGCCCAGCGUUCCCUUCAAGAAUCCGGAUAACGUUGAAGGCCAAGGUACCGAACCGAACAAUCUAGUCAUCCGGUGGACUCCGAUGUCCGAAAUCGAACACAAUGCACCACGAUUCCAGUACCGCGUCUACUGGCAGUUGGACACCGGAGUUGAUCAUUGGAAUACGGAAGAUAUUUUCGAUUGGCGCCAGUCAGAGCUGGUCGUUCGGGAUCAGGAAACUUUCCGAAGGUAUCGUAUUAAGGUUGUGGCCAUCAACGAACUUGGUGAAGCCAAUGUCGCACCCAAAGAAGUUAUCGGAUACUCCGGUGAAGACAAACCACUGGAAGCUCCUUCCAAUUUCACACUGAUUCAGGUCACAGCCCCCACUUCGGCAAUCCUCAGUUGGAACCCGGUUACGGAGGAAAGCAUUCGAGGCCAUUUCAAGGGCUACAAAAUCCAAACCUGGACCGAUGCCGACGGCGAAGAAAAUCUGCGGGAAAUUCUCGUCACAUCUGAUUCAAAACAAGCUUUGGUUACCGAUUUCAUCCCAGAUUCUACCAACUAUGCCCGAAUUCUCGCCUACAACGGACGAUUCAAUGGACCUCCCAGUACGACACUGUCGUUCGAUACCCCCGAAGGUGUCCCCAACACGAUUCAAACCCUCGAUGCCAUUCCUCUGGGUUCAUCGGCCUUCCUUCUGAAGUGGAAGAAACCACUGCAACCGAAUGGAAAAUUGACCGGAUACAAGAUCUACUACGAGGAAGUCAAGGGUACCUCAUUCGGACCUCAGAUGGAGCGUGAACCACACAUCCAUGACCCGAAAAUCACCGAAGCCAAACUGGGAAAACUGAAACCCAGCACCAAAUAUCGAGUGCACGUUGUUGGAACAACGAAAGCCGGAGAGGGACAAGACUAUUACAUCGAACAGAAGACUGGCACCGGAGCGGCAGUCAUUCCCGAUCAGCCCUACUUCGCGUGGGAGCAGAAACCGAACGACAACGGCCAGGCGGACAUCAAGGUCAUCUGGCAGCCGAGCUUGGAGGGUAAGCCGGGAUCGCACUUCUUCGUCAAGUAUCGCAUCAAGGGCGAGAACCAGUGGCUCAUGACGGAACCGGUGCUGUACGAGAACCACCACACCGUGCACGGGCUGGAACCGGACACCAACUACGAGUUCCGCGUCGUGUCCGUGGACGGCGAGUUUCAGACGGAAUCGUUUUCACAGGAAGUGGACACCUCCGGUAUCGAUACCCCCAUCAAGGUACCGAGUCAAAAUGUGGCCACGGCCGGGUGGUUUAUCGGAAUGAUGCUGGCCAUCGCGUUCCUGAUACUGCUGCUGAUCAUCAUCUGCAUUAUCAAGCGGAACCGAGGCGGCAAGUACGACGUGCACGACCGUGAGCUGGCUAACGGUCGGAACGAUUACACCGAGGAGGGUGGAUUCCCCGAGUACUCCCAGCCUGUUUUGCGUGAUUACAGCUUGGACAAUAAAAGCCAGGGUCGGCAGUCGCUGAGCUCGCAAAAAGUCGGACCGGAAAGUGAUACUGAUUCCAUGGCGGAAUAUGGUGAAGGUGAUACAGAAGGUAUGAAUGAAGACGGUUCGUUCAUCGGACAGUAUGGCCGGAAGGGCAAGAACGCGGACAGCAACUCACAGGCGUUUGCGACUUUAGUUUAGUGUUUAGAAGCGAGUAACAAUCAAAUGUGUUUUAUUUUAUUUUAUUCGAAACGAUCGCUUAGAAUAAGGUCGUUUGAAAACGAUGGAAGAAAACUUGGUAAAUCGUGAAUUGUUAUCAUGAUUUAGGAAAACAGUAGCAUUCGGUACAACAUACAGUUGUAUGAUUAUACAAUGACGAUGAUAAUAAUGAGAAUCAGUGCAGUUUUAGGACCAGGUUAAUCAAAAAACACUAGCCAGAAAUGUAUUUGAACUAUAUGAGAUAUAGGGUUAAAAUUUGCGAGUAUUUUUUUUGUAUUGUGUAGGAGCAAAAAUCAAAGGAAACACAAAAGUACGCGGACAAUUCGGAACGUAUUUUUUUAUGUUUACAAGAAGCGUUGUUUUAGAGCUAUUGAUAAAGUAAGUUUUUGAAAUUUUGAACAGUAUAAUUUAUUUUCAAUUUUGUUUAUAAAUUAUUUAUUCGACGUCUUGUGAGUUUGCUGUUUUCUGGAGAAAAAGAGGAGUGGAUUAUGUUUUCUUGUUCCAACCAUGCAGUUUUAUGACAUUAGGAUGCAGUUUUAAUUUCUUUUGUUUGAAAGGCGGUCAAUUCACUGAAGAUGGAUCCUUCAUUGGGCAGUAUGUACCCGGCAAGCCGCCCGUCAGUGCUCAAUCGACGCCGCAGAAUCCUUCACUGCAAGGAGCUAAUGCCGGUAUGGCCACGUACGUCUAAGUUAAAUUAACCGCACUGUUGCAUCCCAUUCGUUCGGAAAGCUGCACGGAAUGAUCAAAUCAGAACCGCUGGAGAAAGCAAACCGUGAGAAAAACAACAUGCAUCACGUACAACUUUUUUUUGCAAAUUUGUUUUGGAGAAUUUUUAUCGUUCUUUUCUGAGCUAUCUGAUUACCGUAUAAACACAAUAGACUAAGUACGACUGUAGCUGGCGACCAGCUCGAAUGUUUAAGGCAGUUCGUUCAUAUUGAUCAACGUGAUAAAAUCAUACAUUUUUGAUUCCAUCACUCUGUCUUGCGAAAUAAUGUAACUCAAAACAAAUGUGUUCAACGCAAAUUUUUAAACAGAAAACAAACUCAAGCAUCUAACAGGAAAUCACCAUUCGUUAAUAAGAGACAGAAAAAUCACUCCAUUACAACAACUACUACAAUCUCAGUACAAACUACAACAAUUUCCAUUUCGGCAGUGAGCUCCCUUUUAGCAUUACGGAGCUCUCUCUCUAUCUCAACGUGCUUUAAUACCGGCGAAUAAUGUACGAGAUGACCGUCUAAUCGCAACCGACGAUUCUCUCAAAGAGUUGGAUCGAUUCCGGUUGCAGCAGCUAUCUGCUUAAUUAUUAUCUUCUUAAAAAUAUUAACGAGAUAUCUUAGUCCGAUCCCAGAUAAGGAUUACUUUCCCCAUUUCAUUUCUACGUUGUUCCUUCGUUUAUGUUUAACCGUCACGUCCUACAAACAUCCAAUGCUGUAUAACAGUUUAUUCGGCAAUCAAUCAGUUCCGAGUUGGCUUUUACAAGCUUUUAAAUAGUGAACAAACUGUUUGUCGGGACUUGCAAACCGCUUAGUAGAUCUGAUUAUUUUUGGCGUCCCCCCGUCUCUGAGAAAAAGAGAAUCUAGCAACUACCAUAAUUCAAGAAUCAAUUUCGUCCAGUAAAUAUGAAUCUCUUUGUUUAGUUGUACUAGUUGCUUAAGAAACCUGUAAAGGAAAAUAAUCAUCUCUCUCGGCACUGCUCGUAAUAUUGAUCAUACCGCGAAGAGCUGCCAAGAUGUGUAAACGUCUCUAUAGCUUAGGUUGUUGUUAAUUUUAUACCCGUUUAUAAAAUUAGUGCAAACAAAUUGAAAGGAUGAAGAAUGAAGUACGAAGGAUCGCAGAAUUUGUAGAAAAAACAGGACAGCACAAACAGAUUGACUUACGACUUGGCAGCCGAAUAGAAUCUCAACAUCACAACCUUAAAACCCCUCAGAAUCUGCUAAAUCCACAAAUCGAGCGAAAGAGAGAGAGAUCGUGUCUGUAUAUAAAGCAAAACAAAACAACAAGUGCUGCUACUAUUAUUACUUUUAGAAAACAACAAAAAAAGCUAUAUAUUUUAUAUUUUUUGCUCUAAAUGCAAAUCUACUCUUUUUACGGAUAUGAGGGAAGAUCGUACCGCAAGACGAAGGCAAACAAAAAAUCGUUAGAAUGCAAUUCUCUGUUUUUUUUCUACUUAGUCAAACAGACGAACUCUGAACACAUGACGGAAAAGUAUCGCGCGAAUUCCUUCGAAUUAUUAUUAUUACUAGUUUUAAUUGUUUAGUGCGAAAAUCAAAGCUAAAUGUUCACAAACUUUUAUUUGUAAUAAAGAAAUUCUUUACAAACAAUUAAA